GAAAUGCGAUAAGUAAUGUGAAUUGCAGAAUUCAGUGAAUCAUCGAAUCUUUGAACGCACCUUGCGCUCCUUGGUAUUCCUUGGAGCAUGCCUGUUUGAGUAUCAUGAAAUCUACAAAGUAAAUCUUUUGUUAACUCAAUUGGUUUCUACUUUGGUAUUGGAGGUCUUUGCAGCUUCACACCUGCUCCUCUUUGUUCAUUAGCUGGAUCUCAGUGUUAUGCUUGGUUCCACCCGGCGUGAUAAGUUAUCUAUCGCUGAGGACACUGUAAAAGGUGGCCAAGGUAAAUGCAGAUGAACCGCUUCUAAUAGUCCAUUGACUUGGACAAUACUUUUAUGAUCUGAUCUCAAAUCAGGUAGGACUACCCGCUGAACUUAAGC
rnacentral:misc_RNA from 1 species